AACGUAGGUGGCGAGCGUUAUCCGGAUUCAUUGGGCGUAAAGAGCUUGUAGGCGGCGUCAUAAGUUGGACGUGAAAACUCCGGGCUUAACUUGGAGAGGCCGUUCAAUACUGUGAGGCUAGAGGGUGUCAGAGGGAAGUAGAAUUCCUGGUGUAGCAGUGAAAUGCGUAGAUAUCAGGAAGAACACCGGUGGCGAAGGCGGCUCUCUGGGCCUUACCUGACGCUGAGGAGCGGAAGCGUGGGUAGCGAACAGG
rnacentral:rRNA from 1 species